AGCUCCAAUAGUGUAUAUUAAAGUUGCUGCGGUUAAAAAGCUCGUAGUUGGAUUUCGGAAUGCGCGUGUCAAAGGUCGUCCUUGUGGCGUGCCUGGACAUUCGCUUCCUAUUAUUGGUCAGUGUCCUCCGCAAGGGGGGUAGCGCUGCCAAUCUUUUACUUUGAAAAAAUUAGAGUGUUCAAAGCAGGCGUAACAUUGCCUUUGAAUAUUACAGCAUGGGAUAAUAGAAUAUGACGUUGGUCUUAUUUUGUUGGUUUCUAAGGCUGAUGUAAUGAUUAAUAGGGAUAGUUGGGGUCGCUCGUAUUGAGUUGUCAGAGGUGAAAUUCUAGGAUUUACUCAAGACGGACUAGUGCGAAAGCAUUCGACAAGGAUGUUUUCA
rnacentral:rRNA from 1 species